GAUGAACGCUGGCGGCGUGCCUAAUACAUGCAAGUCGAGCGAACAGACGAGGAGCUUGCUCCUCUGACGUUAGCGGCGGACGGGUGAGUAACACGUGGAUAACCUACCUAUAAGACUGGGAUAACUUCGGGAAACCGGAGCUAAUACCGGAUAAUAUAUUGAACCGCAUGGUUCAAUAGUGAAAGACGGUUUUGCUGUCACUUAUAGAUGGAUCCGCGCCGCAUUAGCUAGUUGGUAAGGUAACGGCUUACCAAGGCAACGAUGCGUAGCCGACCUGAGGGGGUGAUCGGCCACACUGGAACUGAGACACGGUCCAGACUCCUACGGGAGGCAGCAGUAGGGAAUCUUCCGCAGUGGGCGAAAGCCUGACGGAGCAACGCCGCGUGAGUGAUGAAGGUCUUCGGAUCGUAAAACUCUGUUAUUAGGGAAGAACAAAUGUGUAAGUAACUAUGCACGUCUUGACGGUACCUAAUCAGAAAGCCACGGCUAACUACGUG
rnacentral:rRNA from 1 species